ensembl:lncRNA
GUGGACAGAGGGGCGCCAUCAUUACAGCUCUUCACACAACCCUCACACAUCUGGACAGUAGGAAACACGUGCGUGAGAAUGCUGUUUGUGGACUUUACCUUCAACACAGUUCAAGCCCACAAACUGGUUCAUAAACUCAGCAACUUAGGACCCAGCAGCUCACUGUGCAGCUGGAUACUGGACUUCCUGAGCAACACACCCCAGAACGUCAGGAUGGGAGCCACACCUCCUCCACCCUCACUCUGAACGUGUGUCCUCAGUCCCCUCUUAUACUCACUUUUCACCCAUGACUGUCCUCCAAUCCACACCAGUAACACCAUUAUAAAUGUGCUGAUGACACCACCAUCAUAGGACUGAUGGACAACAACGAUGAUUCAGCUACAGAGAGGAGGUUCAGCAUCUGAAGCAAUGGUGUGACCACAACAACCUGCAUCUGAACACAGCCAAGACCAAGGACAUGAUAAUCGACUUCAGCAGAACAAAGCCAUCUGAGCACUCCACCCUCUACAUUGAUGGAGGAGGUAGAAAGGGUGGAGAGCUUCAAGUUCCUCGGAGUCCACAUCUCGGCCGACCUUACCUGGUCCACAAACAUCUCCCACCAGGUAGGGAAAGCACAACAAAGGCUGCACUUCCUCAGGAAGCAAUGUCAAGCCCCAAAGCCUGCUAAUUCAUUUCUACUGCUCCACCAUCGAGAGCCUUCUGACCUCCUGCUGCACCCUCUGCUUCAACUGCUGCACUGUGGAGGACAAGAGGAAACUGCAGCGCGUGGUGAGGGCAGCAGAGCGGCCAAUCGGCACUUCACUGACCCCCCUCAGAGACAUCUAUAGGGCUUUGGAGCGUGAUGUCACAGGGGUGGGCGUGGAAAGGAUUUUGGCCCGAUCCGCCAUUUUCGGGGUCUAGCAAGUGAAAAGGGAGCGAAGGCACACACAACAGCCAUGGUUCGUAGUUGCUGUGUGGUCGGCUGCGAUGCUCGAUCGCACGACCGGCAAGAGAAUAAGCUUGAAAAUAGUUUAUCUUUUCAUUCUUUCCCAACCUGGAAGCAACAUGAGGCAGCUCGUGUAUCGAUGUUACCAAACGAAGGCGUCUAGCCUGGAUAGCAGCUGUGAGAUGAGCUGAUAUCCAGUUCUCUUCCAUCUCCAAAUAUCUGUUGGUGCUCCAGACAUUUUCAUUCCGAAAACCAGCCUAUGAAAUGGAUGAAACACAUCGUGACUGGGUUCCAGCGCUACACAAGGGACCUGCUUCAAACAUACCACCAUGCCAAUCAGAUUACUUCUUCCAUGUGAGGGUGAAGAGGUGACCCUUCUGGAUAAGAUGGUGAAGGUUUGCUGCGUUUGUUGAACAGUGUUAUAGUAAAACCAGGGAAAAUGAAACUUGCUCCUGUUAAAUAUUCUUAAGUCUUUUGCUGUAUAAAUAGUGGUAUUUUUUUUUCAAAAGAUACAGUAAAUAAUGUUAGUAGUGGGUGAUAUCAUGUAAACACUGUCAUGAUUUUAUGUAAACAUUUUGUCUUUUAUAAACUAUAAAUAACAUGGAUUCUACACUGUAACUGAUGUGAUGUUCUAUAAAGUGGUUUUAAUAAUAAAAAAGAGGCAAAAAUUAGUUUGUUUCUUUAUUAAAUUUUUGAACAGUAGUACUCAGUCAGGACAUAUUCAGUAAAUGCAAAUUAUUUACAUGGCAGUGCACUACAGGCAUAAAUCUAGACCCCUAUAUAAAACAUUAUGGCAUUAUAGCAGUGACAACUCCUCCACAGUAGCAGGUGAGAUUUUUCUUUUUUGAGGACGGCUCCUUUUACCUUUCAAUACGGAUGGUCUGUUUAUGUUUUGAUCAAGAGCCUUUUUUUGGGUCAGCUGAAGAGGAGAAGUCUAUCUUAUGGCCAACCUCUGACUGUAUCUUGGUCACAUAACCCAGUAAAACCCAGUAUGGAGGUUCAUCUGUAACAGUCCUCGUGCCACAGAUCUGCACUGUUGCUUCUAGAUUAAACAGAAGAGCAGCGACAUGGGUGCAGGUCUCCACGACUCCGGCCAUACAGGUGCAGUGGGCGGCUUCAACCUUCCCUGUGAUGCUCACAGUGACCCAUGGCUGCAAUGCUGGUUCAUUCAGUCUUUGAGAGUGCAGCACCUGAAACACACACAGACAAAGUUCAAUUAAAGACAAGAACUAUGAGCCAAGGCCGACACAAAUGUGUUUUAUCUACUUUAUCAUAA